CCUGCCCCUAGGGGUGUUGCGGGUAUGGCUACUGUGUCACAUGUGCGGUCCAUAAGGGGCAAAGAGGAGAGAGCCCAUGUCUGCCCUAAGCGUUCUGAUCUAUGAACACCUGAAUUAUUAGUAAGUGAACAUU
ensembl:snoRNA